rnacentral:lncRNA from 1 species
GUAGGAUGUUAGUGAAACAAAUGGUUUAGAAUUCAAAGGGUCAUAACCUUUGGAAUCUGAUGGCUGAUGAUACAUCUUUUGGUAGGAUAAAGAGGUUGAGAAGUGGGAGAUCUGAGCCAGACUGUGAUAGUCAUAAGCCAGAAGGGCCAGACUAUGAUAGUCGUAAGCCAGAGGGCUAGACUAUGAGAGUGAUAAGCCGGAGGGCCAGACUGUGAGAGUCGUAAGCCGAGGCAAGCUUGGUACUACCUCUUUGUUUUCUUUAUUUUUAUUAUUUUCAUAUGAAGAAUUGUGAUUGAGAGAAGUAUUGUUGAAAUUGUGAUUAGAAUAUUGUAGAAUAUAACUUUAGAUUGACCGAUUUGGAGAAAAUCUGUGACCUUGAGAAUUGAGAUUAUCAAAUUAUGUUGUAUUAAGUGAAGAUAUUGAAUUCUAUGUGAUGAAUUGAGAAAUUGAAUAUAAUAAGUAAAUUAGAGAUCAGUAAUUGAAUAUAUAUAAACCGCAAAGAGAAUAAGUGGAAGAUGAACUGAUAAGAAUAUGGAAGCAUUAUUGAAUUGAUAGUCGUAGAAUGAAUUAUGUAUUGAAU